rnacentral:rRNA from 1 species
AAUUUUGGACAAUGGGGGAAACCCUGAUCCAGCCAUCCAGCGCGUAUGACGAAGGCCUUAGGGUUGUAAAGUACGUUUGGCAGAGAAGAAAAGAUACCUCCUAAUACGAGGUACUGCUGACGGUAUCUGCAGAAUAAGCACCGCCUAACUACGUGCCAGCAGCCGCGGUAAUACGUAGGGUGCAAGCGUUAAUCGGAAUUACUGGGAGUAAAGCGUGUGUAGGCGGUUCGGAGAGAGAGAUGUGAAAUCCCAAGGCUCAACCUUGGAACUGCAUUGUUAACUGGCGAGCUAGAGUAUGUCAGAGGGGGGUAGAAAUCCACGUGUAGCAGUGAAAUGCGUAGAUAUGUGGAGGAAUAACGAUGGCGAAAGCAGCCCCCUGGGAUAAUACUGACGCUCAGACACGAAAGCGUGGGGGGCAAACC